rnacentral:rRNA from 1 species
CCUAGAAUAAACCUAAGGUGUAACCUGCCCAAUGAUUUUUAAGUAAAUUAAUAUAAUCAUUUGUAAGAAAAUUUAAAGGACGCAGUAACCUGACUGUGAUAAUGUAGCAUAAUCAUUCGCCAUUUAAUUGAUGGAUAGUAUGAAUGGUUGAACGAAUUCUUCACUGUCUCGGGAAGAGAACCUAUGAAAUUAAAAUAAUAGUUAAGAUGCUAUUUAAAAUUGUAAGACGAAAAGACCCUAUAGAGCUUAACUAUAUUUUCCUUAAAACAUAUAAAAUAAACAAGGAGAAAGGUAGUUUAGUUGGGGCGACUGUCUUCUAAAAAAAACGAAGACAAGCAAAAUUAAUAAAAAAUUUAUUGUAUAACUAAUAAGUUUAACAAUUAUUAAAAUAGGCUAUAUUGACCCGUUAUGAAUAAGUGAUAAACACAACGAUUAAUAAAUAAAAGCUACCUUAGGGAUAACAGGAUAAUUUUGUUCUAGAGAUCUUAUCGAAAACAAAGUUUGUCACCUCUAUGUUGAAUUAAGAUAUCCUAGUAAGGCAGAAUUUACUAAGGGUAGGUCUGUUCGACCUUUAAAAU